GAUGAAGAACGCAGCGAAAUGCGAUAAGUAAUGUGAAUUGCAGAAUUCAGUGAAUCAUCGAAUCUUUGAACGCACAUUGCGCCCCCUGGUAUUCCGGGGGGCAUGCCUGUCCGAGCGUCAUUACAACCCUCAAGCUCAGCUUGGUGUUGGGCCCCGCCGCCCCGGCGGGCCCUAAAUUCAGUGGCGGUGCCGUCCGGCUCCGAGCGUAGUAAUUCUUCUCGCUCUGGAGGUCCGGUCGUGUGCUCGCCAGCAACCCCCAAUUUUUUUCAGGUUGACCUCGGAUCAGGUAGGGAUACCCGCUGAACUUAAGCAUAUCAAUAAGCGGAGGA
rnacentral:misc_RNA from 1 species